GGUUUUCUAAUAAUCAAUUAGCCUUUUAAAAUGAUAAACUUUGAUUAGCUAACACUAGGACCCUGUCCUUCAAAGAUAAUUAAUUAAAAUCCAAAUAACUUCACAGAUCUUCAUUGUAAAGGGUUUAAACAAGAACAUCGACACCAACCUGAUGAGGCAGUCGACUACACAACCAGUCUCACCUCCACCCACCGCCACCCAAUCACAGCUCAAACAGUUUCAGAGCCAGGGGGCCAAGCACACAGCUUCCCCAGAGACAGCUGCCCCUAGCAUUGGAGAGUGUGGUGUGAAGAUUCCCUUCACCUGGACUCCAGAGGGGACAGAGGUGGGUGAGGGAGGUUUGGAAGGUGGAGUGACCACAGCAGCCAAACAUAGCGAGUCAAUGAAUAUGAACGAGGACAGGAAAGAGAAGGCCGGCCCACCAUCUAAAAGAGCUCACCUACAACUUCCAGAGAGCACAGCUGACGUGGACCCCCUGUCUCAGGGAGGUGCCAAUAUAGUUGGAGAUGGAGGAUGUGCAGCAGUGGCUGAGAGCACUGCAGACCUGGGACGAUAUCUCCACUGAGGAGAAACAGCGUUUACAGCAUUAUUACAGUCGUGCUGUGAGGGAGAUCCCAGGGGUCCUGCUGUGUUCCAUAGGCUCCAGAACAGAGGUGAGGGAGAUCCCAGGGGUCCUGCUGUGUUCCAUAGGCUCCAGAACAGAGGUGAGGGAGAAAAGGAGUUUCUCAGCCCAGACACUACUCACCCUGCUAGGCCUGCUCAAGGAGUUUAACCCCCAUUUGGCAACACUGCUGCUUUGCAAGGAGAGAACAGCAGACAGGGAGCUAAAGGUACAGAGUAGGAGAAAUAAGGGCAGUGGCAUGGUUACCAGUCUUUCAGUUUUAGCCAACAUGUUCUGCAAGACAACUGAGGUUGACUUAAGUGUGUUUGACUUAAGUUUGUUUAUGUGAUCCUGAGGGCUGAGAACGAACCCUUGUGGGGCCCCAGUUUUGAGGAUCAGCGGAGAUGUUUCCUACCCUCACCUCCUGGGGGCGGCCCGUCAAAGUCCAGGACCCAGUUGCACAGCAAGUGCACAGAGCACUUUGAAGAGAAGCUGUUUGAAAACAAAUGUCUUUGUUUUCACCCUCCUCUCUCUUUUUCUCUCCCCCCACCCUGUCUCCAGACAUCUCAGAGCUCCAUGACUGUCAGAAAUGUCAUCUGACUUUUCCCUCGUUGGAUGACCACUGGAAGCACAUCCAGGAGUGCCACCCCAAGGAGUUCCACCAGUGUCCUGAGUGCAACAAGAUGUUCACCAACCCUGUCCUACUGGAGAAACACAUAGCUGUGCACGCUGGGGGAACACCAUACCGCUGCAAGCUUUGCCAGAAGUCCUGCCAGAAGUCCACACAUUGGCCUAUAGAACACACACCUUUAUUCUCAUGCUUUACUAUUAAAGGAUGAGUUGGUAAAGCCUUGUGCUUGCAACGCCAGGGUAGUGGGUUCGAUUCCCAGGAACACCCAUAUGUAAAACGUAUGCACGCGUGACAAAGUUUCUUUGGAUAAAAGUGUCUGCUAAGUGGAAUAUAUUAUAUUACUUAUCAUAUCUUUCCGCACACAACAAAUGUCAGGCCUGUGGUAUCAUAACCGUACCAGCCACCCAGAGGUGUUUGCAGGACAGACCCACCGACAGCUCUAGUCUCUGAUGCAGUGCAGCGUAUGUUGUAAGUUCUUCCCUAGUGCCAGGAGCCUGGCUAAGCACCAGAGGAACCCAGGUGAGGACACCCACAGCUGGGGUGAGACCCAGGAAAGGCUUUCAGACCUAACCUACCCUGUCCAUGCUAUUACAUUACAACCACCCCCCCUUUUAUUUGCUUGGGUACCCAACUGACAUAUCUUCUUGUUGUUGUUGGUUUAGUGUUGUCCAUCCCUGUUAAGGAAUAUGCCAUUUGGGGUGUAUUAUGUAUUCCUUCCAAUCCCUUGUGUCUCCUAAAGGCAUGUUUGAUUCUGACGUGCUGCUGGUGGGGAAUCCAGACCUGCCAUCAGGAAAGAGCUGUGAUGUCUUACUGCUAUACUCCUAACAUACAGUUCUAUCUGUCUGUGGCCGUGUCUGCUCUCUGUGCAUGUGUAUUGAGCUCUUCUCCCCUGUAUCCUCCCAGACUCAUCAGUGGUGAAGUGCCUGUACUGUCCCAGCCUGUUCCCCCAGCGAGGCUGAGGUGCAGGAGCACGCCAGCACCGAGCAUUUCAGCCAGGAGGGGGCAGUGUUCAGCUGCUCUCUCUGCCAGCUGUAGCUCCAGGAGCACUUGCUCUCCUGCCACAUAGGGGCGCUAGAGGAGCAGGAGCAGGCCUCCAGAUCCCAGAUGGUGAUUGAGACAGAGGACACUGCUGGUGGGGCAGAACAAGUGAUCUCUAUGGACCAAUCCCAUCAGGUGUUUGUUGCCCUGGGAGACGGAGAGGAUGGUCUCUCAAGCACGGAGGUGAUGGUGGUUAACCUGGAGGACCUACUGAACGGAACCGUCACCUUUAUAUGUGGAGGUGACCUCUGACCCCUAGUCUCUACUUCCUGGAGAAGGAGGAACUGUCCUAGCAAUAGUGGCAGCUUGGAAUGAAUGAAACAAACUUGACACUGUCAAUGCCACUAGUUUUGUAUCCUGUAAUAGCUGUAAAUAUUGAGAUGGUGUGUACGCUUAUACACUAAGUGACAAAGCGUAACCUUUGAACCCUCAGGAUUGGUGUCUUUUUAUUAAUAAUCACUCUGUUAUUGCCCUGUGUAGAGCUGUGUAUGAAUCUUUAGUAUUUAUUUCCUUUUGAACUGGCGUGUGAAGCCUUGCUGUAUGAGUGUUGUACACGGUUGGUUGAUAAAUCUGUGAAAUCCA